rnacentral:misc_RNA from 1 species
GUUAGAAAAAGAAAAUGGCAAGACUCUUCGUUCUCACAGGGUAAAUAACCAUGUAAAAAUCCAAAAACAAAUACAUAAAGCACCAUGUACCAUGGAUCAAUGGUUAUAAUAUUUAAUCUAGGAGCAUAAGAUUAAAUAAUGAUGUGGUACCAGCGAAAAUUCCAAUAUACCCGUCAACAAUGCUAAGGUGGUGUUUAUGGAUCAGUUUUGCUACUUCUAAACCAAAAUAAUUCCUUAAAUAAACUCAAUAGUGUUUAAUUCUAUAGAUGAUGCUAGGUCAAAAUAGAUCAGAACACACAAAUAGUU